AGCGAACGCUGGCGGCAGGCCUAACACGUGCAAGUCGAACGAACCUUUCGGGGUUAGUGGCGGACGGGUGAGUAACACGUGGGAACGUGCCUUUAGGUUCGGAAUAACUCAGGGAAACUUGUGCUAAUUCCGAAUGUGCCCUUCGGGGGAAAGAUUUAUCGCCUUUAGAGCGGCCCGCGUCUGAUUAGCUAGUUGGUUGAGGUAAUGGCUCACCAAGGCGACGAUCAGUAGCUGGUCUGAGAAGAUGAUCAGCCACAUUGGGACUGAGACACGGCCCAAACUCCUACGGGAGGCAGCAGUGGGGAGUCUUGCGCAAUGGGCGAAAGCCUGACGCAGCCAUGCCGCGUGAAUGAUGAAGGUCUUAGGAUUGUAAAAUUCUUUCACCGGGGACGAUAAUGACGGUACCCGGAGAAGAAGCCCCGGCUAACUUCGUG
rnacentral:rRNA from 1 species